AUUGAACGCUGGCGGCAGGCCUAACACAUGCAAGUCGAGCGGAUGAAGGGAGCUUGCUCCUGGAUUCAGCGGCGGACGGGUGAGUAAUGCCUAGGAAUCUGCCUGGUAGUGGGGGAUAACGUCCGGAAACGGGCGCUAAUACCGCAUACGUCCAGAGGGAGAAAGUGGGGGAUCUUCGGACCUCACGCUAUCAGAUGAGCCUAGGUCGGAUUAGCUAGUUGGUGGGGUAAAGGCCUACCAAGGCGACGAUCCGUAACUGGUCUGAGAGGAUGAUCAGUCACACUGGAACUGAGACACGGUCCAGACUCCUACGGGAGGCAGCAGUGGGGAAUAUUGGGCAAUGGGCGAAAGCCUGAUCCAGCCAUGCCGCGUGUGUGAAGAAGGUCUUCGGAUUGUAAAGCACUUUAAGUUGUGAGGAAGGGCAGUAAGUUAAUACCUUGCUGUUUUGACGUUACCAACAGAAUAAGCACCGGCUAACUUCGUG
rnacentral:rRNA from 1 species